UUUUUUUUUUUUUUAGGGGAAAAAAAAGAUCUACUCAUAACAUAAAAUUAAAACCGUCUACAAGAGAGCUUGUAGGAUUCCAUCACAAAACACCCUAUAAUUAAACUGCAAGAAAGUAAAACGACAAGGGUAACUUCAUUAGCUCGCCUCACCUUAUAUCUACACUUCGAUUUUUUUUUUUUUUUUUAAAAUGAUAAAAUAAAAAUCUCUCUCCCUCUCUCUAAAAUAGGAACUAUCAAUACAACUUUAAUUAUCCCCAAAAAAUAAUUUGCAUUAAACUCAAUUUUCAUCAGAUAAAAAAACUAUAAUGGUUGGAAUCUUCUAGGCCCGUGCCAUUUCAAGAUUUCAUGUCCUUUCUUUCUUGUUUAAUAGCCUCGUAGGAUAUCAUUACCUC
rnacentral:misc_RNA from 1 species